rnacentral:rRNA from 1 species
CAGUCGCCGCGGUAAUACGUAGGGUGCAAGCGUUAAUCGGAAUUACUGGGCGUAAAGCGUGCGCAGGCGGUUAUAUAAGACAGAUGUGAAAUCCCCGGGCUCAACCUGGGAACUGCAUUUGUGACUGUAUAGCUAGAGUACGGCAGAGGGGGAUGGAAUUCCGCGUGUAGCAGUGAAAUGCGUAGAUAUGCGGAGGAACACCGAUGGCGAAGGCAAUCCCCUGGGCCUGUACUGACGCUCAUGCACGAAAGCGUGGGGAGCAAACAGGAUUAGAUACCCGAGUAGUCCCUGUCUCUUUACA